rnacentral:rRNA from 1 species
UGACGGUAGCUUACCAGAAAGGGACGGCUAACUACGUGCCAGCAGCCGCGGUAAUACGUAGGUCCCGAGCGUUGUCCGGAUUUAUUGGGCGUAAAGCGAGCGCAGGCGGUUUGAUAAGUCUGAAGUUAAAGGCUGUGGCUCAACCAUAGUUCGCUUUGGAAACUGUCAAACUUGAGUGCAGAAGGGGAGAGUGGAAUUCCAUGUGUAGCGGUGAAAUGCGUAGAUAUAUGGAGGAACACCGGUGGCGAAAGCGGCUCUCUGGUCUGUAACUGACGCUGAGGCUCGAAAGCGUGGGGAGCGAACAGGAUUAGAUACCCUGGUAGUCCACGCCGUAAACGAUGAGUGCUAGGUGUUGGAUCCUUUCCGGGAUUCAGUGCCGCAGCUAACGCAUUAAGCACUCCGCCUGGGGAGUACGACCGCAAGGUUGAAACUCAAAGAAAAUUGACG